UACGUAGGGUGCGAGCGUUAAUCGGAAUUACUGGGCGUAAAGCGUGCGCAGGCGGUUGUGCAAGACAGGGGUGAAAUCCCCGGGCUUAACCUGGGAACUGCACUUGUGACUGCACGGCUGGAGUGCGGCAGAGGGGGAUGGAAUUCCGCGUGUAGCAGUGAAAUGCGUAGAUAUGCGGAGGAACACCGAUGGCGAAGGCAAUCCCCUGGGCCUGCACUGACGCUCAUGCACGAAAGCGUGGGGAGCAAACAGG
rnacentral:rRNA from 1 species